rnacentral:rRNA from 1 species
GCAGCGACGCCGCGUGAGGGAUGACGGCCUUCGGGUUGUAAACCUCUUUCAGCAGGGAAGAAGCGUGAGUGACGGUACCUGCAGAAGAAGCACCGGCUAACUACGUGCCAGCAGCCGCGGUAAUACGUAGGGUGCGAGCGUUGUCCGGAAUUAUUGGGCGUAAAGAGCUCGUAGGCGGCUUGUCGCGUCGGAUGUGAAAGCCCGGGGCUUAACUCCGGGUCUGCAUUCGAUACGGGCAGGCUAGAGUUCGGUAGGGGAGACUGGAAUUCCUGGUGUAGCGGUGAAAUGCGCAGAUAUCAGGAGGAACACCGGUGGCGAAGGCGGGUCUCUGGGCCGAUACUGACGCUGAGGAGCGAAAGCGUGGGGAGCGAACAGGAUUAGAUACCCUGGUAGUCCACGCCGUAAACGUUGGGAACUAGGUGUGGGCGACAUUCCACGUUGUCCGUGCCGCAGCUAACGCAUUAAGUUCCCCGCCUGGGGAGUACGGCCGCAAGGCUA